UACGAAGGGGGCUAGCGUUGUUCGGAUUUACUGGGCGUAAAGCGCACGUAGGCGGAUUGUUAAGUCAGGGGUGAAAUCCCGGAGCUCAACCCCGGAACUGCCUUUGAUACUGGCAAUCUUGAGGCUGGAAGAGGUUGGUAGAAUUCCCAGUGUAGAGGUGAAAUUCGUAGAUAUUGGGAAGAAUACCAGUGGCGAAGGCGGCCAACUGGUCCAGAUCUGACGCUGAGGUGCGAAAGCGUGGGGAGCAAACAGG
rnacentral:rRNA from 1 species